AUUUAUUUUUUUCUUUUUUUUUGAGAUGGAGUCUCAUUUUGUCAACCAGGCUGGAGUGCAGUGGCAUGAUCUUGGCUCACUGCAACUUCCACCUCCUGGGUUCAAGAGAUUCUCCUGCCUCAGCCUCCUGAGUAGUAGGGACUACGGGCUUGCACCACCAUGCCCAGCUAAUGUUUGUAUUUUUAGUAGAGACGAGGUUUCAUCAUAUUGGCCAGGCUGGUCUUGAACUCCUGACCUCAAGUGAUUCGCCCGCCUCGGCCUCCCAAAGUGGUGGGUUACAGGCAUGAGCCACCGCAUCUGCCUAAGAAGGUGCUUUUGAGGUGACAACAAUGUUCUAAAUCUUAACUGGGAUUGUGGUUAUAUGGGUCUAUACACUUAUUGGACUACUGAACCAUACAUUGUAAAUGGUUAUACUGUAUUGUAUGUAAGUUACACGAGAAUAAAGAUGAUUUAGAGAGUUAGAAACAAAACAAGAAUGAAGAAUGAUGCUUGUUUUGCUCACCAUCUAGCAGAAAAGCCAGACAUACAAACAAAUAGUCAUAAAGCAGUGGGAUGAGUGUUCAAAGUAUGUU
rnacentral:sRNA from 1 species